AACGAACGCUGGCGGCAUGCCUAACACAUGCAAGUCGAACGAGACCUUCGGGUCUAGUGGCGCACGGGUGCGUAACGCGUGGGAAUCUGCCCUUGGGUUCGGAAUAACAGUUAGAAAUGACUGCUAAUACCGGAUAAUGUCUUCGGACCAAAGAUUUAUCGCCCAGGGAUGAGCCCGCGUAGGAUUAGCUAGUUGGUGAGGUAAAGGCUCACCAAGGCGACGAUCCUUAGCUGGUCUGAGAGGAUGAUCAGCCACACUGGGACUGAGACACGGCCCAGACUCCUACGGGAGGGCAGCAGUGGGGAAUAUUGGGACAAUGGGCGAAAGCCUGAUCCAGCAAUGCCGCGUGAGUGAUGAAGGCCUUCGGGUU
rnacentral:rRNA from 1 species